AUACGGAGGAUCCGAGCGUUAUCCGGAUUUAUUGGGUUUAGAGGGUGCGCAGGCGGCCAUUUAAGUCAGCGGUUAAAUCGUGGGGCUCAACCCCAUUCUGCCGUUGAUACUGGGUGGCUUGAUUGCGGUCGAGGUUGGCGGAAUUCGUUGUGUAGCGGUGAAAUGCAUAGAUAUGACGAAGAACACCGAUUGCGUAGGCAGCUGACCAGAUCGCAAAUGACGCUCAUGCACGAAAGUGCGGGGAUCGAACAGGAUUAGAUACCCUGGUAGUCCGCACAGUAAACGAUGAAUACUUGUUUUCGGCGAUAUAAUGUCGGAGGCAAAGCGAAAGCGAUAAGUAUUCCACCUGGGGAGUACGCCGGCAACGGUGAAACUCAAAGGAAUUGGCGGGG
rnacentral:rRNA from 1 species